rnacentral:rRNA from 1 species
UACGUAGGGCGCAAGCGUUGUCCGGAAUUAUUGGGCGUAAAGAGCUCGUAGGCGGCUUGUCACGUCGGGUGUGAAAGCCCGGGGCUUAACCCCGGGUCUGCAUUCGAUACGGGCUAGCUAGAGUGUGGUAGGGGAGAUCGGAAUUCCUGGUGUAGCGGCGAAAUGCGCAGAUAUCAGGAGGAACACCGGUGGCGAAGGCGGAUCUCUGGGCCUUACCUGACGCUGAGGCGCGAAAGCUAGGGGAGCGAACAGG